UACGUAGGGUGCAAGCGUUAAUCGGAAUUACUGGGCGUAAAGCGUGCGCAGGCGGUUCGCUAAGACAGAUGUGAAAUCCCCGGGCUCAACCUGGGAACUGCAUUUGUGACUGUAGAGCUGGAGUACGGCAGAGGGGGAUGGAAUUCCGCGUGUAGCAGUGAAAUGCGUAGAGAUGCGGAGGAACACCGAUGGCGAAGGCAGCCCCCUGGGCUAACACUGACGCUCAGGCACGAAAGCGUGGGGAGCAAACAGG
rnacentral:rRNA from 1 species